GGGAAAGGAAAAGACUGGGAAAGCUAGGAAAAGGGAACAAGCAUUUGUAUAGCAUCUUCUAUGUGCUAGGCACCGAGCUGAAUGCUUUUCCGAAUGUGAUCUCCUUUGAUCCCCGCAUCUCAAUGAGGGGCCUUAAAAGAACAUCUUGGAGGGAAGGACAGACCUGGAUCCCCAGCCAAGGUGCAAAAAGAUGGGGAGCCUGGGGAGAAGCCUUCUGGUGCUAUGUGUGGCCAUCACCAUUGCAACACUUUCUGCUCAGCAAAAGGAGAGACUGAGUGACCAAGAAGCUAUAUCCCUGUUACUAGCUACCUACAACAGAGAGUCCAACGAUAAUUUCAUCUAUGGGCUCCUUCAAACCAAAUCUGUCUCUGACCAGGCUGAGAAACGGAUCCUGAGUUUUACCAUCCAGGAAACUAAGUGCCUUAAAUCAGAGAAUCAGAACCCUGACCAGUGUGAAUUCAAAGAAGGUGGGGUAAGUACUCCUUACUGA
rnacentral:lncRNA from 1 species